UGGGGAAUAUUGGGCAAUGGAGGCAACUCUGACCCAGCAACGCCGCGUGAAUGAAGAAGGCCUUCGGGUUGUAAAGUUCUUUAAUUGGGGACGAAGAAAGUGACGGUACCCAAAGAAUAAGCCACGGCUAACUACGUGCCAGCAGCCGCGGUAAUACGUAGGUGGCAAGCGUUGUCCGGAAUGACUGGGCGUAAAGGGAGCGUAGGCGGCGCAGUAAGUUAGGAGUGAAAUCCCGGGGCUCAACCCCGGAACUGCUUUUAAAACUGCUGUGCUUGAGUGAUGGAGAGGAAAGCGGAAUUCCUAGUGUAGCGGUGGAAUGCGUAGAUAUUAGGAGGAACACCAGAGGCGAAGGCGGCUUUCUGGACAUUAACUGACGCUGAGGCUCGAAAGCGUGGGGAGCAAACAGG
rnacentral:rRNA from 1 species